rnacentral:rRNA from 1 species
GACGUAGGGCGCGAGCGUUGUCCGGAAUUAUUGGGCGUAAAGGGCUCGUAGGCGGUCUGUCACGUCGGGAGUGAAAACUCGGGGCUUAACCCCGAGCCUGCUUCCGAUACGGGCAGACUAGAGGUAUGCAGGGGAGAAUGGAAUUCCUGGUGUAGCGGUGAAAUGCGCAGAUAUCAGGAGGAACACCGGUGGCGAAGGCGGUUCUCUGGGCAUUACCUGACGCUGAGGAGCGAAAGUGUGGGGAGCGAACAGG